rnacentral:rRNA from 1 species
ACGGAAGGCAGCAGUGGGGAAUAUUGCACAAUGGGCGAAAGCCUGAUGCAGCAACGCCGCGUGAGCGAUGAAGGCCUUCGGGUCGUAAAGCUCUGUCCUCAAGGAAGAUAAUGACGGUACUUGUGGAGGAAGCCCCGGCUAACUACGUGCCAGCAGCCGCGGUAAUACGUAGGGGGCUAGCGUUAUCCGGAUUUACUGGGCGUAAAGGGUGCGUAGGUGGUUUCUUAAGUCAGGAGUGAAAGGCUACGGCUUAACCGUAGUAAGCUCUUGAAACUGGGAAACUUGAGUGCAGGAGAGGAAAGUGGAAUUCCUAGUGUAGCGGUGAAAUGCGUAGAUAUUAGGAGGAACACCAGUAGCGAAGGCGGCUUUCUGGACUGUAACUGACACUGAGGCACGAAAGCGUGGGGAGCAAACAGGAUUAGAUACCCUGGUA